AGAGUUUGAUCCUGGCUCAGGAUGAACGCUAGCGGGAGGCUUAACACAUGCAAGUCGAGGGGCAUCACGAGGUAGCAAUACUUUGGUGGCGACCGGCAGACGGGUGGGUAACGCGUAUGCAACCUACCCUGUACAGGGGGAUAACCCGGAGAAAUUCGGACUAAUAUCCCAUAAUAUUAUUUGGAGGCAUCUUCGGAUAAUUAAAGUUCCGGCGGUACGGGAUGGGCAUGCGUAACAUUAGCUAGUUGGUAAGGUAACGGCUUACCAAGGCUUUGAUGUUUAGGGGUCCUGAGAGGGUGGUCCCCCACACUGGUACUGAGACACGGACCAGACUCCUACGGGAGGCAGCAGUGAGGAAUAUUGGUCAAUGGGCGAGAGCCUGAACCAGCCAUCCCGCGUGCAGGAUGACGGCCCUAUGGGUUGUAAACUGCUUUUCUGCGCCAAGAAACCUGUCAACGUGUUGACAGCUGACGGUAGCGCAGGAAUAAGCCCCGGCUAACUCCGUGCCAGCAGCCGCGGUAAUACGGAGGAUGCAAGCGUUAUCCGGAUUCAUUGGGUUUAAAGGGUGCGCAGGUGGGAAAAUAAGUCAGUGGUGAAAUACUGCCGCUUAACGGUAGAAUUGCCAUUGAUACUGUUUUUCUUGAGUAUGGUUGAGGUAGGUGGAAUGUGUUGUGUAGCGGUGAAAUGCAUAGAUAUGACACAGAACGCCGAUUGCGAAGGCAGCUUACUAAGCCAUUACUGACGCUGAGGCACGAAAGCGUGGGGAUCGAACAGGAUUAGAUACCCUGGUAGUCCACGCCGUAAACGAUGAUCACUCGCUGUUUGCGAUAUACAGCAAGCGGCUGAGCGAAAGCAUUAAGUGAUCCACCUGGGGAGUACGAUCGCAAGGUUGAAACUCAAAGGAAUUGACGGGGGCCCGCACAAGCGGAGGAACAUGUGGUUUAAUUCGAUGAUACGCGAGGAACCUUACCUGGGCUUAAAUGUAGGCUGCAUUCGGCUGAAAGGCUGAUUCCCUUCGGGGCUGCUUACAAGGUGCUGCAUGGUUGUCGUCAGCUCGUGCAAUUGUGGUGUCGGGUUAAGUCCCAUAACGAGCGCAACCCUUAUCGUUAGUUGCCAGCGGGUUAAGCCGGGGACUCUAGCGAGACUGCCACCGUAAGGUGAGAGGAAGGUGGGGAUGACGUCAAAUCAGCACGGCCCUUAUGUCCAGGGCUACACACGUGUUACAAUGGCCGAUACAAAGGGCAGCUACUCCGCGAGGAGAUGCUAAUCUCUAAAGUCGGUCCCAGUUCGGAUUGGAGUCUGCAACCCGACUCCAUGAAGUUGGAAUCGCUAGUAAUCGCAGGUCAGCAUACUGCGGUGAAUACGUUCCCGGGUCUUGUACACACCGCCCGUCACACCAUGGGAGCGGGUUCUGCCAGAAGUAGUUAGCCUAACCGCAAGGAGGGCGAUUACCACGGCAGGGUUCGUGACUGGGGUGAAGUCGUAACAAGGUAACC
rnacentral:rRNA from 1 species